AGAGUUUGAUCCUGGCUCAGGAUGAACGCUAGCGGCAGGCUUAAUACAUGCAAGUCGUGGGGCAGCAGGGUUGUAGCAAUACAAUCGCUGGCGACCGGCAAACGGGUGCGUAACACGUACGCAACCUUCCCGUUACUGUGGCAUAGCCCAGGGAAACUUGGAUUAAUACCACAUAUUAUAUUGAUGAGGCAUCUCACUGAUAUCAAAGCUUCGGCGGUAACGGAUGGGCGUGCGGUUGAUUAGGUAGUUGGCGGGGUAACGGCCCACCAAGCCUACGAUCAAUAGCUGAUGUGAGAGCAUGAUCAGCCACACGGGCACUGAGACACGGGCCCGACUCCUACGGGAGGCAGCAGUAAGGAAUAUUGGGCAAUGGACGCAAGUCUGACCCAGCCAUGCCGCGUGAAGGAUUAAGGUCCUCUGGAUUGUAAACUUCUUUUCUCUGGGGCGAAAACCAGCUAAUCUUAGCUAUUUGACAGUACCAGAGGAAUAAGCACCGGCUAACUCCGUGCCAGCAGCCGCGGUAAUACGGAGGGUGCAAGCGUUAUCCGGAUUCACUGGGUUUAAAGGGUGCGUAGGUGGGCUAGUAAGUCCGUGGUGAAAUCCCCGAGCUUAACUUGGGAACUGCCAUUGAUACUAUUAGUCUUGAAUAUCGUGGAGGUAAGCGGAAUAUGUCAUGUAGCGGUGAAAUGCUUAGAUAUGACAUAGAACACCAAUUGCGAAGGCAGCUUGCUACACGGUCAUUGACACUGAGGCACGAAAGCGUGGGGGAGCAAAUAGGAUUAGAUACCCUGGUAGUCCACGCCCUAAACUAUGGAUACUCGACAUCAGCGAUACACAGUUGGUGUCUG
rnacentral:rRNA from 1 species